rnacentral:misc_RNA from 1 species
GAUGAAGAACGUAGCGAAAUGCGAUACGUAAUGUGAAUUGCAGAUUUCAGUGAAUCAUCGAAUCUUUGAACGCACAUUGCGCCCGCCAGUAUUCUGGCGGGCAUGCCUGUUCGAGCGUCAUUUCAACCAUCAAGCCUUCGCUUGUGUUGGGGCCCCGCGGCUGCCGCGGUCCCCUAAAUCCAGUGGCGGGCUCGUCGUCGUACCGAGCGCAGUAGACAUCCUCGCUCCGGGAACCCGACGGGUGCCGGCCGUGAAACCCCCCACAUCAAGGUUGACCUCGGAUCAGGUAGGAAUACCCGCUGAACUUAAGCAUAUCAAUAAGCGGGGA